CCUACGGGAGGCAGCAGUGGGGAAUUUUGGACAAUGGGCGAAAGCCUGAUCCAGCAAUGCCGCGUGAGUGAAGAAGGCCUUCGGGUUGUAAAGCUCUUUUGUCAGGGAAGAAACGGUGGGAGCUAAUAUCUCUUGCUAAUGACGGUACCUGAAGAAUAAGCACCGGCUAACUACGUGCCAGCAGCCGAGGUAAUACGUAGGGUGCAAGCGUUAAUCGGAAUUACUGGGCGUAAAGCGUGCGCAGGCGGUUUUGUAAGUCUGAUGUGAAAUCCCCGGGCUCAACCUGGGAAUUGCAUUGGAGACUGCAAGGCUAGAAUCUGGCAGAGGGGGGUAGAAUUCCACGUGUAGCAGUGAAAUGCGUAGAUAUGUGGAGGAACACCGAUGGCGAAGGCAGCCCCCUGGGUCAAGAUUGACGCUCAUGCACGAAAGCGUGGGGAGCAAACAGGAUUAGAUACCCUGGUAGUCCACGCCCUAAACGAUGUCUACUAGUUGUCGGGUCUUAAUUGACUUGGUAACGCAGCUAACGCGUGAAGUAGACCGCCUGGGGAGUACGGUCGCAAGAUUAAAACGUCAAAGGAAUUGACGG
rnacentral:rRNA from 1 species